UACGUAGGAUGCAAGCGUUGUCCGGAAUUAUUGGGCGUAAAGAGCGCGCAGGCGGUAUGACAAGUCAGAUGUGAAAGAGGCCGGCUUAACCGGCAAGGGUCAUUUGAAACUGUCAGACUAGAGUGCAGCAGAGGAUAGUGGAAUUCCCGGUGUAGUGGUGAAAUGCGUAGAUAUCGGGAGGAACACCAGUGGCGAAGGCGGCUCACUGGACCAUAACUGACGCUGAUGCACGAAAGCUAGGGGAGCAAACAGG
rnacentral:rRNA from 1 species